rnacentral:rRNA from 1 species
CCCUUAGACGUUCUGGGCCGCACGCGCGCUACACUGACGAAGGCAACGAGCUUUCCUUUACCGAAAGGUACGGGUAAUCUUUUGAAACUUCGUCGUGCUGGGGAUAGAUCCUUGCGAUUUUUGAUCUUAAACGAGGAAUGCCUAGUAAGCGCAAGUCAUCAACUUGCGUUGAUUACGUCCCUGCCCUUUGUACACACCGCCCGUCGCUACUACCGAUUGAAUGGUUUAGUGAGGCCUUCGGAUCCGCGACUCGUUUGUGGAGAAGUUGGACAAACUCAGUCAUUUAGAGGAAGUAAAAGUCGUAACA